rnacentral:rRNA from 1 species
CUACGGGGGGCUCCAGUGAGGAAUAUUGCACAAUGGGGGGAACCCUGAUGCAGCAACGCCGCGUGGAGGAUGACGCAUUUCGGUGUGUAAACUCCUUUUAUAUGUCAAGAAAAUGACGGUAGCAUAUGAAUAAGCACCGGCUAACUCCGUGCCAGCAGCCGCAGGAAUACGGAGGGUGCAAGCGUUACUCGGAAUCACUGGGCGUAAAGGACGCGUAGGCGGGGUGGAAAGUCAGGUGGGAAAUCCUACAGCUUAACUGGAGAACUGCACUUGAAACUUCUAAUAUAGAGUAUGGGAGGGGGAGAUGGAAUUAGUGGUGUAGGGGUAAAAUCCGUAGAUAUCACUAGGAAUACCUAAAGCGAAGGCGAUCUCCUGGAACAUUACUGACGCUAAGGCGUGAAAGCGUGGGGAGCAAACAGGAUUAGAUACCCCCGUAGUC